AGCGAACGCUGGCGGCAGGCCUAACACAUGCAAGUCGAGCGCCGUAGCAAUACGGAGCGGCAGACGGGAGAGUAACACGUGGGAACGUGCUCUUCAGUUCGACACAACCCAGGGAAACUUGGGCUAAUACCGGAUACGUCCGUAAGGAGAAAGAUUUAUCGCUGAAGGCUCGGCCCGCGUCUGAUUAGCUAGUUGGUGGGGUAACGGCCCACCAAGGCGACGAUCAGUAGCUGGUCUGAGAGGAUGAUCAGCCUCACUGGGACUGAGACACGGCCCAGACUCCUACGGGAGGCAGCAGUGGGGAAUAUUGGACAAUGGGCGCAAGCCUGAUCCAGCCAUGCCGCGUGGGUGAUGAAGGCCUUAGGGUUGUAAAGCCCUUUCGGCGGGGAAGAUAAUGACGGUACCCGCAGAAGAAGCCCCGGCUAACUUCGUGCCAGCAGCCGCCGUAACAC
rnacentral:rRNA from 1 species